rnacentral:rRNA from 1 species
UACGGGGGAGCAAGCGUUGUUCGGAUUUACUGGGCGUAAAGGGCGCGUAGGCGGCCACCGCAAGUCAAUUGUGAAAUCUCCGGGCUUAACUCGGAAAGGUCAACUGAUACUGCGGGGCUAGAGUGCGGAAGGGGCAACUGGAAUUCUCGGUGUAGCGGUGAAAUGCGUAGAUAUCGAGAGGAACACCUGCGGCGAAGGCGGGUUGCUGGGCUGACACUGACGCUGAUGCGCGAAAGCCAGGGGAGCGAACGGG